UCAACGAGGGUAGAGAAAGGCAAAGAAGAUGAUCUACUAAUAUAUAUAUAUAUAUAUAUAUAUAUGUAUGUAUGUAUGUAUGUGUGUGUGAAUACUCUUUUGUUAUACUCUAGCUUCUUUAUUCUUUAGUAUCUCGUGAAAUUCUCUAUUUUCAAUUGUCUCCAGUGCGGCUUUUAUCUACGCAGCAGGAGCUCAACGAGGCCUCUGAUCACUUUUACGAAUAUACCUGACUUUCAAAAAAUCAAGAAAAACACAAAACUUAUCUACAAAGAUAUCCGACGAUCACCUAUGGUUGAUGCUAAAAGACGUCUUCUACCAAUGACAUUUGAUGUUCCUACUAAACGAGUCGAGGAGAGCGUUAGAUAUUGAAGAAGGAGAUUCGAAGCCUGUUGCCAAAAGAUAGUAUAAAAGAGCACUACCUUCAUAAAUAUAGCGCUAAAAAUAAUAUUUUAGAUAUGAAGGUUCUGGAUUUUGCUGCCCAAACAAAGAGCCGUUUCUCAGUUAGAAUUGGAGUUGGGGAGGCAUGAGCAUGAUAAACAAAAUAACGAGGAAUUUUUUUAUAACGUGAGGAAUUUAUAGUGUUAACUGGGGAAACACCAUUCAUUAUCUUCUUCAUGGCUGUCAUCAUAAGCAUCCCAUGGAUGGUGUACUGCUUGUUUUCCCCCCUGCUGCAACGGCUGUUCUGCUUGUUACCGGUAUGUUGGAUUUCAUAUCUUCGCUGUCUUAUAUUACUUGAGAACCUUGGUUUUUAUUUUAUUGUAUAAUUUCACACAAAUCUAAAGAUCUCAAUUUUUAUAGUUAUCUAAAAUCAUUUACUUAAUUUCUAAUUACGUGAUUUUGUUUAUGUUGCAUAUCGGCAUAAUUCAUCGACUAUAUCUUUUCGAAAAUACUAGGAG